rnacentral:tRNA from 1 species
UAGCUCAAUGACAGAGCAUGUGCUUAGCAUGCAUGAGGUCCUGGGUUCAAUUCCCAG